AGAGUUUGAUCCUGGCUCAGGAUGAACGCUGGCGGCGUGCCUAACACAUGCAAGUCGAACGGAGUAAUGAGAGUUUACUUUGUUACUUAGUGGCGGACGGGUGAGUAAUGCGUGAGCAACCUGCCUUUCAGAGGGGGACAACAGUUGGAAACGACUGCUAAUACCGCGUAACAUACAGGGACCGCAUGAUCCUUGUAUCAAAGGAGCAAUCCGCUGAAAGAUGGGCUCACGUCUGAUUAGCUGGUUGGCGGGGUAACGGCCCACCAAGGCGACGAUCAGUAGCCGGACUGAGAGGUUGAACGGCCACAUUGGGACUGAGAUACGGCCCAGACUCCUACGGGAGGCAGCAGGUGGGGAAUAGUUGGGCAAUGGGACGAAAGCCUGACCCAAGCAACGCCGCGUGAAGGAAGAAGGUCUUCGGAUUGUAAACUUCUUUUAUGAGGGACGAAGGACGUGACGGUACCUCAUGAAUAAGCCACGGCUAACUACGUGCCAGCAGCUGC
rnacentral:rRNA from 1 species